UUGACCUCGGAUCAGGUAGGGAUACCCGCUGAACUUAAGCAUAUCAAUAAGCGGAGGAAAAGAAACCAACAGGGAUUGCCUCAGUAACGGCGAGUGAAGCGGCAAAAGCUCAAAUUUUAAAGCUGACAUCUUCGGUGUCCGCGUUGUAAUUUUGUGAGGCAUCUCCGGGNAGGGCGCCGGCCUAAGUUCCUUGGAACAGGACGUCACAGAGGGUGAGAAUCCCGUGCUUGGCUGGCUGUCCCCGUCCAUGUGAGGUGUCUUCGACGAGUCGAGUUGUUUGGGAAUGCAGCUCAAAAUGGGUGGUAAAUUUCAUCUAAAGCUAAAUAUUGGUGGGAGACCGAUAGCGCACAAGUAGAGUGAUCGAAAGAUGAAAAGCACUUUGAAAAUAGAGUUAAAAAGUACGUGAAAUUGUUGAAAGGGAAGCGCUUGAGACCAGACUUCGGUAAGGGGUGAUCAGCCGUCCUUCUGGGCGGUGCACUUGCCCCCCUCCGGGCCAGCAUCGGUUGAGGCGGCGGGAUAAAGGUCCCGGGAAUGUGGCUCCUUCACGGGAGUGUUAUAGCCCGGGUGAAUGCCGCCAGCUUCGACCGAGGACCGCACCCGCAAGGGUUAGGAUGCUUGGCAUAAUGGUCUUCAGCGACCCGUCUU
rnacentral:rRNA from 1 species